UGAGCCCACAAAUGGCCACUGGAAUGCCAAGAUGACACUGGAAGGAGGUGGCAAAGGAGUGGCAGCAGUACGACCAGUCUGGCUCAAUUUUUCAACAGUGUGGGGACUGAUGCUCCUCCAGCCAUUCACUGCCCAGGCAGCUGCUCCAGUGGGCAGUUGAGAGAUGUCAGAACUGACCUGUCAGCCAGUUGGAUCCUGUCAGGGCUGCAAGGCAGACAACCAGGCCUUGGCCUGAGAUUAAGCUGAAUAAACAGGAUGUGAAAAGCUACUGGACAUAAGAAAACUGCUGGAUGUGACAGAUAAUGCAAGAAGCUGCAGAGUGGUUGUACAGAUCAUCAGGGCAGAGUUACACAAAAAACAGACGAGUUCCAUGGAAAGGUGGAAUACAGGGCAGACUUCAGAGGCGGACAUCUUGCAAGGUACUAAGCAGACACAUCUGCGGAAGUGAAAGCAUUACAGACCUACCAAGAGUUUCAAAUUUCUGCUGAGAAGGACUGAGGUUUUCAACUCACAGUCAUUGGGAAAAAACCUGCACUCACCCACUCACCCCUCCUGAAAGUGUCAGCUCACUUGCUGGCCCAUGCAGCUGAAAUGGGGAUUCGUUCCUGGAGUUCUGGGGUGAACCACUCUUGGGGCUCAGGGCAGAGGAUGUGUUGGGAAACUUCAGCACUCAGCUCCCCUUGGUUAUCACAAUCCACUCAUACUACACAGGGAAAGGUCUUGCUAUGCCUACUAAGACACAGUUCAUGGUGGAUUUAAAUAAAAGGCCAUUAAACCUAUUUAUUUUCAAUACUCAAAAAAAUUCAGAAACAUCUACAAGGUCCUCAGGAAAAGAAAUAAAAGACGAGGUAUGCCUGAUCUACUCACACUAAGGUUAAUGAUCUCUCUGCCUCACUCAGUUUGACUUACCAUUCUUCCUGGCAAGACAACAUUUAGGAUUUUCAAUGUUUGUGCAUAUUUAUGCCAGAGCCUACACCUUUCAGAUAGAAAAAAUAAAGGAGUCUAUUUUUGGGAGCUAUUUUCAUGAUUUCUUUGGCGACUCACAGGCACAAGUUCUUGCUUUUUAAAUUACAGAUAGGCACAAAAUCUAAGUGGUGCUAACAUGUAGAUCUAUUUAAAAAAACAUAAGACUCUACUGUGUAGUAAGAGACCACUGUAGAGUGAAUGUGUUUGGGAAGACCUUUUUAUUAAACAUAAUGUAAUAAAGUGACAAAGUAAAGGCUGUCUGUUGAGGCGUAUGUGCACUCAAAAUUAAUAUAAACAAGACAAAUCAGCAUAUUACUAAUGUACUUUUUUUUCUAAGAAAAUUACACAUCACAUUACAAUGGGGGUAGGAAUGUCUUUAGAACUAGCAAUGCUCCCCGCAUGUUGUGGAAG